rnacentral:rRNA from 1 species
UACGGGGGGGGCAAGCGUUGUUCGGAAUUACUGGGCGUAAAGGGCUCGUAGGCGGCCAACUAAGUCGGAUGUGAAAUCCCCAGGCUCAACUUGGGAACUGCAUCCGAUACUGGAUGGCUUGAAUCCGGGAGAGGGAUGCAGAAUUCCAGGUGUAGCGGUGAAAUGCGUAGAUAUCUGGAGGAAUACCGGUGGCGAAGGCGGCAUCCUGGACCGGCAUUGACGCUGAUGAGCGAAAGCUAGGGGAGCAAACGAG